rnacentral:lncRNA from 1 species
CUCAUCCAAAUUAAGGUUAUCUUUAACGGAAUCGUACCUCCUUUCACAUUUCUUUAUUUAUUACUCACACUUUACCUAUAAAUUCAUGAAUUACUUGGAACAUAAUCAUUUGAGCUAGUGCCUAAGUAGAAAUAUUAGUUGACAGGACCUUGUUUCAACGAUAAAGAAGGAGAUUCUGAUCAUGGGAGUUUAAUUUAAUUUUAUAUUAACUUUUUUAAUUAAAAGGUUGAUUUAUUUUUAUGAUUCUUUUUAUUGAAUACACGAUGUCAUAUAAUUAUAAAAUUUUUAAUUAUAAUUGUAGUUAAAAAAAUACCAUGCAAGUUAAGGAUUUAUUCUGAAAGAUUGUGACCCAUGAGACUAUUAUUUUGUUGAAUAAGUGACAAGUUAGAGUUGGCUCAGCCAAUAGAUGAUGGAAAGAAAAAGUCAUAAAAAAAGUAAGUGGCAACAAAAGAAAAAAAGAAAAGGAUGUGACCCAACAAUUUGAUUGUAAGAGAAUUCCUCUCAAACAUCUAAU